rnacentral:lncRNA from 1 species
GAUGAAUCUUAAUUAGGGGCUGUUUCAUUGCAUAUAGUUAUAACUAUACUGUAGUUGUUAAUUACAUGCAGAUUCAAAUUCAAUAUUUGAUUUGAUAUAUUUGAAUUCAACUGAUUCACUUAGAACUGCACCCUCAUUGGCCGCAAUUCCAUCUCAAAAAAGAAGAAGAAGAACAACUUGCCUUCCUAAUUAAGAUGCAUAUAAUUAUAAUUUUUAUAUUUUUAAUU